GUUCCUGUAGCGCAAUGGGUAGCGCGUUGGACUUCUACUGCAAAGGUCGUGGGUUCGAGUCUCACCUGGAAUG